UAGGGAAUCUUCCACAAUGGACGCAAGUCUGAUGGAGCAACGCCGCGUGAGUGAAGAAGGUUUUCGGAUCGUAAAGCUCUGUUGUUGGUGAAGAAGGAUAGAGGUAGUAACUGGCCUUUAUUUGACGGUAAUCAACCAGAAAGUCACGGCUAACUACGUUCCAGCAGCCGCGGUAAUACGUAGGUGGCAAGCGUUGUCCGGAUUUAUUGGGCGUAAAGCGAGCGCAGGCGGAAGAAUAAGUCUGAUGUGAAAGCCCUCGGCUUAACCGAGGAACUGCAUCGGAAACUGUGUUGCUUGAGUGCAGAAGAGGAGAGUGGAACUGCAUGUGUAGCGGUGGAAUGCGUAGAUAUAUGGAAGAACACCAGUGGCGAAGGCGACUCUCUGGUCUGCAACUGACGCUGAGGCUCGAAAGCAUGGGUAGCGAACAGG
rnacentral:rRNA from 1 species